GUGAUACGAAAUAAAAAGCCUUCUAUUCACUGUGCCAUCUUUGUAUCCGUAGAUGAUCAGAGGGGAAAAGAACGGCUAGACCAAGGUUCCUGCGCGAGCGUCCUCAUACUGUCUGAAUCGAUUAGCAAGUCUGGGUUCAGUCGGUAACUGCGCGAGCGCUACAUUC
rnacentral:snoRNA from 1 species